UAACUGUAUUUUCGCCAACGCAAACUGG
rnacentral:sRNA from 1 species